rnacentral:rRNA from 1 species
GAUGAACGCUGGCGGCGUGCCUAAUACAUGCAAGUCGAGCGAACAGACGAGGAGCUUGCUCCUCUGACGUUAGCGGCGGACGGGUGAGUAACACGUGGAUAACCUACCUAUAAGACUGGGAUAACUUCGGGAAACCGGAGCUAAUACCGGAUAAUAUAUUGAACCGCAUGGUUCAAUAGUGAAAGACGGUUUUGCUGUCACUUAUAGAUGGAUCCGCGCCGCAUUAGCUAGUUGGUAAGGUAACGGCUUACCAAGGCAACGAUGCGUAGCCGACCUGAGAGGGUGAUCGCCCACACUGGAACUGAGACGCGGUCCAGACGCCUACGGGAGGCAGCAGUAGGGAAUCUUCCGCAAUGGGCGAAAGCCUGACGGAGCAACGCCGCGUGAGUGAUGAAGGUCUUCGGAUCGUAAAACUCUGUUAUUAGGGAAGAACAAAUGUGUAAGUAACUAUGCACGUCUUGACGGUACCUAAUCAGAAAGCCACGGCUAACUACGUG